rnacentral:rRNA from 1 species
ACGCUCGACACCUACUGGAGGCAGCAGUGGGGAAUAUUGCACAAUGGGGGAAACCCUGAUGCAGCGACGCCGCGUGGAGGAAGAAGGUCUUCGGAUUGUAAACUCCUGUUGUUGGGGAAAAGAGGAUGGUACCCAACAAGGAAGUGACGGCUAACUACGUGCUAGCAGCCGCGGUAAUCUGAGCGGGCUGGCAAGGC